rnacentral:piRNA from 1 species
UGACCCUCAUGGUACUUGACAAAAGCCUUC